UUCUUAAGAAGUAAUUCUUGAGUUUUAACACUCCAUCGAUAAGGAAUAAUGUGAACAAGCAUCAAAGCAGUUGCACAUGAUGCAAUGCCACAAGAAAGUUUUGCAAUAGUCAUCACCAUGAAUGUCCACAAGUUUAUGAAGUAGGUUGCCCCACAAAGAAAAAUAAAAGCACCAAAUUGCAUGAGCACCCAUCCAUAAAGGAAGAAUGCAAAUUUUUGCACAAAGCAUAUGAGCUCAAUGGGUAUAGAGAAGUAAAUCACAAAGAAAAUGUAAAUCUGAUAACCAUCACAAAGAAAAUGUUUUGAUGAACCUAUUAGAAUAGGUAACAAUAGUGCCUGUACGAGUUUAUAGAGUAAAAACUGCCAUUAUUACUUGCAAAAUAAUAUGGCUCGAACAGAGAACCUUCCUUGGUUGCUUGCUCUUAGCAUUGGUUAUGGCAUGCCUCAGGAUUAGAAACUAAUCUGUUACAUACAAUUCAACAGAGACUCUGAUUCCAAUUGUCUCAAAUGCAAACAAUUUUUAUCAUAUAUUUGCAAUUUUCCUCAGUCAGUACUCAGUAGACUUCUAUGUUACAAGCAAAAAUAGGCACAUAGGAUUACCUUACACACUUUGUAAUCAAUCGGUUUCACUCAAGUGAAGGAAGCUUCAUUUCUAUUUUGGCACAACUCAAGGAAGCUCUUUCAGAAUAGGAACAAUGUUAUACCAGUAUCUCCAAUCUAGCUCCCCAUAUCCUUUUUCUUUUUAUCCUUCUUCACCUUCUUAAGAAAGCGUUCAUGAGGCUCUAAUUGUACUUCAACAUGCAUCUGUGUCCAAAGUGCUCCAAAAUGAUCAUGAAAGCUCUUCUUAAACCAGUGUAAAAUUUCUGAAUGCAAUUCAUUGGGAUUCUCUUUCCAUACUUCUCUUAGCAUCGCACAACUAUCAAUCGACAAUGUCUUUAACUUAUACAUAAGGUCGCCAACCCGUCUUUCACCUACAGCCUCUUGGCCCAAAAUGAUACUGGGACGAGCUGCCAUAAAAUUACGGACAGAGCUUAAGCAUGGCAAAACAUGGCCUUCGAGUAAAGCAUAAGCAAAUACCUUCACACGAUCCACAUCACUGGUAACUGAUACACUGUAUAAUGGCAACUGCCAAAGGUAAGGCCCAAAAGUUGGAAUGACCCAGUGAUAUACUUGGUCAGUUUGAGGCUCAUAAUAAGGUUUGCAAUGCCACAAGAAAGUUUUGCAAUAGUCAUCACCAUGAAUGUCCACAAGUUUAUGAAGUAGGUUGCCCCACAAAGAAAAAUAAAAGCACCAAAUUGCAUGAGCACCCAUCCAUAAAGGAAGAAUGCAAAUUUUUGCACAAAGCAUAUGAGCUCAAUGGGUAUAGAGAAGUAAAUCACAAAGAAAAUGUAAAUCUGAUAACCAUCACAAAG
rnacentral:lncRNA from 1 species